UACACGGUGCGAACAGUUAGGGCUUGUUUUGGCAUUUGCUACGGCCCACAGUAGCCAGUGUUAAGUGAGCGAAUAAAGUACCGGUGAAACAAGCUCAAGACCCGUAGCUUCAUUAUUGAGGUCAGGCCUUUUAUUGAGUGAGAAGAUCCAGUGAAAAAGAUCCAACAAUUCCAGGAGAUGUGGGAGGAGCCAUCCAUGUAUAAAAAGGUUCCAAGCAGAGCAGGGGGUGUGUCAGGGUCCGGAUGAGGCAGGGGUUUUCAGAUACGCACGUUGGAGGAAGAACAGCUGUUCCGGUGGCGACACAACAAAAACUACAAAUGCAGGGAGGAAGACUGCUGGAAAGGAGGGGGAAAAAAAUGCAUAAGGAAGCACUGAAGAUGUUUGUAAGGCCUCAAGGUUCUCAAGGCGCAGCUGGGGUGAGGAGUGUGUCCAGUUUGGAAACAUCAGAAUAGCAUCAUUGCUUUUCGCAGAUGAUGUGGGUUGGAUGGCUUCAUCAGAACGUGACCUUUAGUACUCACUAGGACGGUUUGCAGGUUUAUACCAGGCUGGGUUCAGAGAUUUGUCAAAGCUGACCUCAGAGGAGCAACAUUUCCACCGCCUUAGGCUGUAUACACAAGACUCAGCCCUGCAGACAGCAUGUGAACGGCAAAGACAUUAGUCCCAUUUAUUACCCAUCCUGGCCAAAAUUGUUUUUGUCCUUCACAGUGAGGGUUUGGCAGCAUUUCCAAUUACCAAAGACACUGUGUUGACCCCCAAGGGCAUUGGCAAGAUGAGAAAAGAUGUAGAUGUGAGGAGGUUCCAUUCUAUUCAAUCAAUAUGCUUUUUAUAGGCUGUGCUUGUCUGUUAGGAGGAACAGCAGUAUCUUUACCUUCUGCAAAACAUCACUGACACAGGCUGAAUCAUGACAUGAUAUCUGUGGAUCAGAGCACAGGCACUUGUGUCAUUGCUGAAAUAUGUUCACGGAUUCAUAUCAUAGGUUUCCAUUUCCGUAACUUCAAACUCCUGUUUGAUUUUCUAACCUCGACCUAUUUGAGUUUGAAAGUAUAAUAUAUUGGUCUGUGACAGCUACUCAGCCCUAUUAAUGUACCUUGGUAUAGGAAGAUGAAACCUGGCGUAGGAGAUAGGAACACCUCACCCUAAUUGGUAUCCCACUGGUUAUUAUGGAUGCCUUUUGAUUGGGUGAUGGAGCGUUGACUGACUAAUUGCCUGGAGGGUGGAGCUUUGAACCUGGUGAGCCAGACAAAGGACCCAAGUGAAUCCACGUUAAAUGCUUGUGUGCCAGGAUGACAGAAAAAGAUAUGUGGCAGCAGACAUAUUAAACUCUUACAGAAUUUAAAAGUAUUCCACUGAGAUAAGACUGAAUAGAAGCCCACAGCUAGCUAACUCACUGACUCUAUACUUGUCACUUUUACACUUGUACACUUAGUCUAUAUUUGCUUACAUGUUAGAAAAUUUGCACCAUUAAAAGAA